GGAAUAUUGCACAAUGGGGGAAACCCUGAUGCAGCGACGCCGCGUGAGUGAAGAAGUAUCUCGGUACGUAAAGCUCCAUCAGCAGGGAAGAAAAAAAGUCCUUGGCUUUGGACGGUACCUGACUAAGAAUCCCCGGAUAACUACGUGCCACCAGCCGCGGUCAUACGUAGGGGGCAAGCGUUAUCCGGAUUUACUGGGUGUAAAGGGAGCGUAGACGGCAGCGCAAGUCUGGAGUGAAAUGCCGGGGCUCAACCCCGGAACUGCUUUGGAAACUGUGCAGCUAGAGUGCGGGAGAGGUAAGCGGAAUUCCUAGUGUAGCGGUGAAAUGCGUAGAUAUUAGGAGGAACACCAGUGGCGAAGGCGGCUUGCUGGACCGUAACUGACGUUGAGGCUCGAAAGCGUGGGGAGCAAA
rnacentral:rRNA from 1 species